rnacentral:rRNA from 1 species
GACAGAGGUGCCAAGCGUUAGGCGGAAUCACUGGGCUUAAAGCGUGUGUAGGCGGAUUUGUAAGUACCUUGUGAAAUCCCACGGCUCAACCGUGGAACUGCUCGGUAUACUGCUUAUCUUGAGCCACUUAGGGGCUACCGGAACAAGUGGUGGAGCGGUGAAAUGCGUAGAUAUCAUUUGGAACGCCAAUGGUGAAAACAGGUAGCUGGGAGUGUGCUGACGCUGAGACACGAAAGCCAGGGGAGCGAACGGG